GGACAGGUCAGCCAUGCAAGGUUAUCUGGCCUUCUUGGGCCAAGACAGGGAGCAUUUCAGCACUUGUCUCUCUGCGUGGUUUCAAAGUGUGACAAAUUGGUUGUCACCUCCAAGAGGCUCAGAGUCCAUCACGCGCCCAAGGUUUUCACGGCGUGCCUGCUGAGGUGUGAAGAUAUCACCAGCAGGAAGAUCCGCAAGGUGUGUACGCAACUGGAGUGCAACUUCCUCUUCCCGGAGCAGGAGAUUUCCCAAGGCAGUCAGUGUGUCCUUUCACAAGCUGCUCACGUUGAGCAUUUUGCUUUUGGCCGAGAACAGUUUCCUGACACUCAAAGCAUGACAUGCUGCUUUAGGGAAAACCAAGUGUUCAUGAGCCCCGACGAUGUACUUGUACACCUCUGGCCCCUGGUCUCGCAAGUCUAUUUCAUGGAGUGUUUCAGGGUCAUUUCUGAGCCCUCUUGGUCUCUCUGUAGUUUGUGGAGUAUCCCGAGUACUUGGAUCUUCGCCCAUACAUGUCUCAGACAGCUGGGGAACCGCUGCUCUACUCCUUGUACGCUGUCAUGGUUCACCGUGGUGCCUGCUGUCAUGAAGGACACUUCUACUGCUACACAAAGGUAAAGAGCAACUGCCUUCCUCACAAGGGAAAAACGUGUGCUGGGGAAGAGAAAUUUUCAUGGCGGUGUUACUGGCAGCCAAGGUUUUAGGGGAGAAGGUCUCCUUAGGGGCUGGGUUGCAUUUGUUGUGAUGGACUCUUGGCUCUGUCGUUUUCUGCCUGUGUUUGUGUUGAGAACCCCGCACUUCAUCUCCAGGUGUCCAUGUCUUGUUUUACAGGCCAGCAAUGGACUGUGGUACAAGAUGAACGAUAGCUCUGUGGAGCGUUGUGACAUCAACACAGUUCUCAGGCAGCAAGCCUAUUUACUGUUUUACAUCAGGUAAAAACAAGUACAAAAAUGUUUUCGGAACACGUUUCCUUUUCUUGGCUUUGCUUUUCCUCUUCUGAUCCUCCUCCUGUCUCUGUGUUUCUCUUUCUGUCAUAGGAGACAAUCUCUCCCUGUGUCCUUCAGUGCUGUCAAAACUGAACUACACCAUGUCCGUCCUUCUCGUCCCUUGCUGGGC
rnacentral:lncRNA from 1 species